GAGGUGCAACGUCAAACAGCUCAGCGAGAGCAGAGUCCCCCCUUUACUGAGCGACAAGUUACUUUUUACGAUUAUUUACUUUGUUAGUAAAAUUUCUUGUCACAAGUAGCACCUUCAGUGCUGACACAGAAUUAAGCCGUCUAGUCAGAAAAAGUGUCUCCAGAGGAUAGCUAUUUUUGGGGGGUUUGUCUGAGAGUUCCUUUCAGGUCAGCUGCAGACAGCGAGAGCAAGAUCCACUAAACCAAAGCAGCUGUUCCAUUUCUAUCCCAACCCACAAUAUGAGGUAGAGGACUUGGGUUCAGGGUAAUUAAUGCUCACACCUGUUGAAACGCGACCCACAGCUGCACCAGUCGCCCAAGAGUAAUCGGAGAUGGAGAAAGGUGGACAGGCAUAUCUUUAGGCAGGAACAAGCAACAGCUCCAUGGAAAGAAACACCCAUUACAAUCCUAUUCUGGACAGAAACAAGCGUAUCGCAUGGCAAGAGGACUGCUAUGUUGACCUCCAGUCUACCCCCACCUCAACUUCCACCAAGGGAGAGAUGGAAGAUGUGGGCUGGAUUCAGAAACAUCAGGGGCAUCUGCAGCGCUUCAUUACCACUCCCCUCCUGGAGGGGGCGCUGUCCCACAUGAGGAAGCUGGAACUUCUGAGCCAGGGUGAGGAGGCCCAGGUACAAGCUGGGGGGCAGCUGCAGGAGCGGGUGGGCACCCUUACCUCCAUCCUGGCCAGCAUGGACCCCCAGGGCUCCAACGCUCUCCAGGCCUUCCUUGAGAACUCUGACUCCCAGAUGUACAGGCUCAUCACGAUGCACGAUCCCAUGGUUCAGGAGCACAAGGAGGCUCUUCUGUUGCAGUAUCCCACACCAAGUGACAGCCUCUCCCCUGGCCCCUGUAGCCCAGAAUUCUCCUCCUCCAGAAUCUUGCUCCUGGUCGACGGCCUAUCGGACCUCCAGCAGAAGGAGCAUGACCUCAUGCAGGUGGAGGCCACCCGUGGGGCGCGGAUACACCACGUCAGACAGCUGGCCCUGGCCAAACUCCUGGAGCCCCUCACACGGGUCAGCCUGCCCCCCAGGGUCUCACUCACUGUGGGAGUGGCCGGCAUCGGCAAGAGCACCCUUGUGGGACAUUUUGUACGCCUUUGGAGCAGAGGUGAGAUCUGCACAGACUUGAGUUUUGUCUUGCCCUUUGCCUUCUGGGAGCUGAACACUGGGGAGAAGCUGUCGGCCGAAAGACUGGUGAAGCUGGCCUUCCCUCACAUGACGGACCCCAGCCUGGUGCUGAGUGGUACAUGUCGGACAUUGCUGAUCUUCGACGGUCUGGACGAGUUCCGUUGUCCUCUGGACUUCUCGGAGACUGUGCCUUGCACAGACCCCAAGAAGGAGGUGUCGGUGGACGACUUGGUCACCAACAUCAUCCGGGGCAACCUGCUCCCCGAAGCAGCGGUGUGGGUGACCUCCAGGCCGGCGGUGGCCUCGUUGAUUCCUGGGGGACUAGUGGACAGGUUGACCGAGAUCCCCGGAUUCAGCCCGAAGGAAAUUCGGCUGUUCCUGAGCCACAACUUCCCUAAGGGAGAUACUGCCAGUCAGAUAUGGACUCACUUGGAGUCCAACAAGAUCUUCAUGGUGAUGUCUUACAUGCCUUGCAUUUGCUGGAUAGUGGCGGUUACCUUUGGGUACCUGUUGGAGAGUGGCUGGCAGGAGGGCCUUCCCAGGACCUGCACUGAGCUCUACUCCCACUUCUGUGCUAUGCGAGCCGAAGCAGGUGAGCCCAGAGGCAGAGAGCCUAUCAAGAUGGACCAGCUUAACGGGAACAACCGCAAGCUGCUGGGAAGUCUGGGCCGACUGGCCUUCUACGGACUUCUGAAGCACAAAUACACCUUCAGUGAGCAGGACAUGAGGGCCUAUGGAGUAGACCUUCCAUCCACCCAGGGUGGCCUCGGAACUGGAGUACUGAUCCGCGAGGAAUCCCCGAGUUGUGUGGCCUACCGCUUCACCCACCUGACUGUGCAGGAGUUCUUAGCAGCCACGUACUACCACAUCUGCUCCAAACGUGCCAUCUUUGACCUGUUCAGCGAGAGCGCCAUGUCCUGGCCCAAGAUCGGCUUCCAGAACCACUUCAGGAGCGCCCUGCAGCGAUCCCAGCAGGCAGAGGAUGGUCACCUGGAUGUGUUUGUGCGAUUCCUGGCGGGGUUGCUGUGUCCAGCGGCAGUGCGGCCGCUGGCAGGCCUGCUGGCCCAGGGGAAGGACGAUGGGGGCCAAAGGGUUUGGGCGGCUGGGCUGCUGCAGGACCUCCUGGGCAGCGGUGGUGCUGUGGUGUCACUACGCUCAGUGAACGUGGCCUACUGCCUGCAGGAGCUGCAGCACACAGAGGUGCUACGCAGCGUGGAGGAGGACCUGCGCUGUGGCGGCCUGGGAUGGAAGCUGACACGGACACACUGCACAGCGCUGGCCUACCUGCUACAGGUGUCUCCAGAGUGCAGCGAGGAGACCAACCUGUCGGCAUGUCUGGACUACUCCACUGUCAAAAGCCUGCUGCCUCAGCUGCUCUACUGCAGCCAUCUCAGAUUGGAAAAUAACAAUUUUAAAGAUGAUGUCAUGGAACUGCUGGGAAGCUUACUGAGUGCAAAGGACUGCCACCUUCAGAAGAUAAGUCUGGCAGAGAACGCUAUCAGCAACAAAGGGGCCAAGGCCCUGAGUCGAGCACUACUGGUUAACCGGACGCUAAUUACACUUGAUCUCCGUAGCAACAACAUUGGAUCUAAAGGAGCCAAGUUUCUAGCAGAAGCCCUCAAAAUGAAUCAGGUCCUGGUGUCCAUCAAUUUCCAAAAUAAUCUCAUUGAGGAGGAGGGCGCUCGGGCCCUGGCUGAGGUGCUGCUGUCCAACCGCAAACUUGUCUCGCUGAAUGUACAGAAGAAUUGUAUUGGAGCAGAUGGAGCCAAGAGGAUUGCAGAAGCGCUAAAGACAAACCGGACACUUACAGAACUGAUUCUGAGCAGUAACCAGCUGGGGGACAAAGGCACUGCAGCCCUGGCCCAGGCCCUGACCGUCAACCACAGCCUCCACUCGCUGCACCUGCAGAGUAACUCCAUCAGUAACAAAGGGAUGACUGCGUUAACCAAGGCUCUGCGGUUGAACCGUGGACUCAUCUGUCUGAACCUGCGCGAGAACUCAAUCGGGGUGGAGGGGGCGAAGGAUAUGGCCAGGGCACUGCAGGAGAACAGCUCUCUCCGGCACCUGGAUCUUACAGCCAACCUGCUGCACGAUGAGGGGGUGAAAGCCAUAGCUGGAGCUGUGAAGGUCAACAGAGCGCUUACUACUUUACGUCUCCAGUGGAAUUUCAUCAAGUGCACAGCCACGAAAUCCUUGGCCCACGCCCUACUCACCAACUCUACCAUGCAGCUACUAGAUCUACAGGAAAAUGCCAUUGGGGAUGAAGGAGUGGUAGCUCUGGCAGGAGCCCUGAAGACCAAUACGUCUCUCUGUACAUUGUGUCUCCAGGGUGUAUCAGCAGGCAGGAGUGGAGCCAUCUCAAUGGCCGAGGCUCUAAUGGUCAACAAAACCCUGCACACUCUGGACCUACGAGGGAACUCCAUAGGAAUGGAGGGAGCCAAGGCUUUGGCUAAUGCACUGAAGACAAACAGAACACUCAAAUCAUUAAAACGUUUGGCCACAAGCACAGAGGAAACCACAGGGGUUAACGACUCCACUCCUCCCCAAGGGCUGUAUUGUCAUUAGCAACCAUAGAUCUGGCACAAAACAUUAGUGGCUUUAAACAUGAACUAAAGUGGGCUAAUGUUACCAUGGCAAUCUGUUUUGCAAAGUAACAUGUAUUGCACAAUGGAUACAACAGCAAUUUCCUACCUCAGUGCCUUCAGGAAGUAUUCAUACCCCUUGAAAUAUUCAACAUUCAAAUGGAUUUCUCUCUCAUCCAUCGACACACAAUACCCCAUAAUGACAAAGUGAAAACAUGCUUGUAUACAUUUUUCCUAAUUGAUUGAAAAUCAAAUACAGAAAUAUCAUUUACAUAAGUAUUCAGCUAUUACAGAGUCUUUCUGGGUCAGUCUCUAAGAGCUUUGCACACUUGGAUUGUACAAUAUUUACAUUAAAAAAUAUAUAUAUAUGUUUCAAGCUCUUUCAAGUUGGUUGGUGAUCAUUGCUAGACAGCCAUUUGAGUCUUGCCAUAUAGUUUCAAGACGAUUUAAUUCCAAACUAACUCGGCCGCUCAGGAACAUUUAAUAUCGUCUUGGUAAGCAACUCCAGUGUAUAUUUGGCCUUGUGUUUUAGGUUAUUGUCCUGCUGAAAGGUCAAUGUGUCUCCCAAUGUCUGGUAGAAAGCAGACUGAACCAGGUUUUGCUCUAGGAUUUUGCAUGUGCUUACCUCUAUUCCGUUAAAUCAUCAUCUUUGUCUUUGCCGAUGACAAGCAUACCAAUAACAUGAUGAAGCCACCAUGAAAAUAUGAAGAGUGGUACUCAGUGAUGUGUUGGAUCCCCCCCCAAAAAAAUAACUCUUUGUAUUCAGGAAAUAAAGUUUUUAUUUUGUAUAUUUAACCAGGCAAGUCAGUUAAGAAUAAAUUCUUAUUUACAAUGAUGGCCUACUGGGGAACAGUGGGUUAACUGCCUUGUUCAGGGGCAGAAUGACCGAUUUGUACCUUGUCAGCUUGGGGAUUUGAUCCAGUAACCUUUCGGCUACUGGCCCAACCCUCUAACCACUAGGCUACCUGCCGCCCCAAAACUGCAAACAGGAUGCAUGUUUUGGAAUAUCUGUAUUAUUUUUAUUCUGUACAGUCAUGUAGGUCAGUAUUGUGGAGUAACUACAAUGUUGUUGAUCCACCCUCAGCUUUCUCCUAUCGCAGCCAUUAAACUCUAACUGUUUUAAAGUCGCCAUUGGCCUCAUGGUGAAAUCCCUGAGCGGUUUGCUUCCUCUCCAUCAACUGAGUUAGGAAGGAUGCCUGGAUCUUUGUAGUGACUGGGUGACUUUGUAGUGAAUACACCAUCCAAUGUGUAAUCAAUAACUUCACCAUGCUCAAAGGGAUAUUCAAUGUCUGCUUUUUUUUACCCAUCUACCAAUAAGUACCAUUCUUUGCGAGGCCUUGGAAAACCUCCUUGGUCUUUGUGGUUGAAUCUGUGUUUGAAAUUCACUGCUCGACUGAGGGACCUUACAGAUAAUUGUAUGUGUGGGCUACAGAGAUGAGGUGUUCAUUAAAACAUCAUGUUAAACACUAUUAUUGCAACAUAUUAUGUGACUUGUGAAUCACAUUUUUACUCCCGAACUUAUUUAGGCUUGCCUUAAUUAGCGGCAGGUACCCUAGUGGUUAGAGGGUUGGACUAUUAACCGGAAGGUUGCUAGAUCGAAUCCCCGAGCUGACAAGGUAAAAAUCUGUUGUUCUGCCCCUGAACAAGUCAGUUAACCAACUGUUCCUCGGCCGUCAUUAUAAACAAGAAUUUGUUCUUAACCUUUAUUUAACUAGGCAAGUCGGUUAUAUAAGAUAAAUAACCAAAGGGUUAAAUACUUAUUGACUCAAGACAUUUCAGCUUUUCAUUUGUAAUACAUUUCAAAGCAUUUCGAACGUUAGAAUUCACCUUUGACAUUAUGGGGUAUUGUGUGUAUGCCAGUGACAAAAUCUCAAUUGAAUCCAUUUUAAAUUCAGGCUGUAACACAACAAAAUGUGAAUACUGUCUGAAGGCACUGUAUUUAUGUACCUGUCUUUGAUUGUGCUGGUUGUAAUUCCACACAUUUAUCGAGCUUAGGUCAUCUGAACUGUUUCAGUAAGGGAUAUUAGUCAUACUUCCUCUCUCUGGCUUCCAGUGGACUCCAUAAUGAUGUUUCAUGCUGAUAUGCACCCUCAUAUGUAUUUAUUUGGAAAGUGAAGCUAAAACAUUCCAUUUGGCUCCAAGCUUGAUGUUGUCAUUGCUUGUUAAGAAUAUGGGACCAAAUACUAAAUGUUUGACAAAUAAAAGGUGAGUUUCUGUACUGUCGCCUCAUACUAAACAAAUGAAUCCAUUAAUCCAAAUUGCUGGAGGAUAGAGUCCAAAUUAAACGUUUUAUCUCGACUGUCCAGAUAAAUACGUAGGGGAGUGUAUAUAGUAAUUAUGCGUGGUAUAAUUUCGUUGUGCUUAGCUCAUCCGAGCACUGAGUCAGAGAGAGAGAAACAUCACAUGAAAGGCUCGAGUCGAAAGCAUUUGAUACAGACAUUCAAAGACAGACAACCACACACACACAUGUAGAUUCAGUUCCCUCAGUGAUAGAAAUUUCAGAGUGCUGCCACAAUACAUUACUUCCAAAUGGACUUGCGGUCUUGUUUUUGAGUGUUUUUGUCUGGUUGGGCCUUAGACCUCAUGUUGGAUUCUACAUGAGCCUUUUGAUGCAUGUAAUGUGUGUGCAGUCUGCAGGAGAACUCUCUGGGAAUGGAUGGAGCCAUAUUCAUCGCCACAGCCCUGAAAGGAAACCACCAGCUAACUUAUAUAAACUUGCAGGGGAACAG